rnacentral:sRNA from 1 species
AAAUACGGCGCUUUUUAACGACACACACGUUUCGUCACAUGCGGUGGGGUCCCAAUAGGGUACCGUAUGGGAAGCGUGGAGGCUUAACC